GAUGAACGCUGGCGGCGUGCCUAAUACAUGCAAGUCGAACGGACAGACGGUGAGCUUUCUCCUCUACCGUUGGCGGCUGGCGGAUGAGUGACGCGUGGAUCACCUUCUUCUUUUUCUUGGAUAACUUCGGGAAGCCGCUGCUGCUACCGCCUCAUAUAUUGUACCGCUUGGAUCAAUAGUGAUACACGGCUUUGCUGUCACUUUUAGCUGAUGUCGCGCCGCAUUAGCUAGUUGGUAAGGUAACGGCUUACCAAGGCAACGAUGCGUAGCCGACCUGAGAGGGUGAUCGGCCACACUGGAACUGAGACACGGUCCAGACUCCUACGGGAGGCAGCAGUAGGGAAUCUUCCGCAAUGGGCGAAAGCCUGACGGAGCAACGCCGCGUGAGUGAUGAAGGUCUUCGGAUCGUAAAACUCUGUUAUUAGGGAAGAACAAAUGUGUAAGUAACUAUGCACGUCUUGACGGUACCUAAUCAGAAAGCCACGGCUAACUACGUG
rnacentral:rRNA from 1 species